UAAUACGUAGGGUGCGAGCGUUAAUCGGAAUUACUGGGCGUAAAGUGUGCGCAGGCGGCGCCGCAAGUCGAGUGUGAAAGCCCCGGGCUUAACUUGGGAAUUGCGCUCGAAACUAUGGUGCUGGAGUGUGGCAGAGGAAGGUGGAAUUCCACGUGUAGCGGUGAAAUGCGUAGAGAUGUGGAGGAACACCGAUGGCGAAGGCAGCCUUCUGGGCCAACACUGACGCUCAUGCACGAAAGCGUGGGGAGCAAACAGGAUUAGAUACCCUGGUAGUCCACGCCCUAAACGAUGAUGACUAGUUGUUGGAGGAGUUAAAUCCUUUAGUAACGCAGCUAACGCGUGAAGUCAUCCGCCUGGGGAGUACGGUCGCAAGAUUA
rnacentral:rRNA from 1 species